rnacentral:ncRNA from 1 species
AAAAAAUCAAUGACAAGAGAAGUAGCUAAGAAAAGAAAAAUCACAGAAAAUUUCCGAUGAUGAGAAGGAAGUAUUUUUUGCUUAGUGAAUGGACUUGUCCGAGCAUCCUUGAACCAAAGUAGGGGAUGACGGGAACUCCCGUUACAGAGAAAGACCAUUGUUAGAUGGUCGAUAGAGAUAUGCUUUUUUAGCAUAUGAUUGAGGUGGCACCGUGGUACAUCCGCCCUCAAG